AUGUGACCUCAAAUCAGGUAGGACUACCCGCUGAACUUAAGCAUAUCAAUAA
rnacentral:rRNA from 3 species